CCUUCGAUAGCUCAGUUGGUAGAGCGGUGGACUGUAGAAAAUGCAAUUGAAAGUAGAAAUCCAUAGGUCGCUGGUUCAAAUCCGGCUCGAAGGA
rnacentral:tRNA from 1 species